rnacentral:rRNA from 1 species
UACGAAGGGGGCUAGCGUUGCUCGGAAUUACUGGGCGUAAAGGGCGCGUAGGCGGACUGUUUAGUCAGAGGUGAAAGCCCAGGGCUCAACCUUGGAAUUGCCUUUGAUACUGGCAGUCUUGAGUACGGAAGAGGUAUGUGGAACUCCGAGUGUAGAGGUGAAAUUCGUAGAUAUUAGCAGGAACACCGGUGGCGAAGGCGGCUAUCUGGACGACAACUGACGCUGAGGCGCGAAAGCGUGGGGAUCAAACAGG